CAACGUUAAUCGGGGCAGGGUGAGUCGACCCCUAAGGCGAGGCCGAAAGGCGUAGUCGAUGGGAAACAGGUUAAUAUUCCUGUACUUGGUGUUACUGCGAAGGGGGGACGGAGAAGGCUAUGUUGGCCGGGCGACGGUUGUCCCGGUUUAAGCGUGUAGGCUGGUUUUCCAGGCAAAUCCGGAAAAUCAAGGCUGAGGCGUGAUGACGAGGCACUACGGUGCUGAAGCAACAAAUGCCCUGCUUCCAGGAAAAGCCUCUAAGCAUCAGGUAACAUCAAAUCGUACCCCAAACCGACACAGGUGGUCAGGUAGAGAAUACCAAGGCGCUUGAGAGAACUCGGGUGAAGGAACUAGGCAAAAUGGUGCCGUAACUUCGGGAGAAGGCACGCUGAUAUGUAGGUGAAGCGACUUGCUCGUGGAGCUGAAAUCAGUCGAAGAUACCAGCUGGCUGCAACUGUUUAUUAAAAACACAGCACUGUGCAAACACGAAAGUGGACGUAUACGGUGUGACGCCUGCCCGGUGCCGGAAGGUUAAUUGAUGGGGUCAGCGCAAGCGAAGCUCUUGAUCGAAGCCCCGGUAAACGGCGGCCGUAACUAUAACGGUCCUAAGGUAGCGAAAUUCCUUGUCGGGUAAGUUCCGACCUGCACGAAUGGCGUAAUGAUGGCCAGGCUGUCUCCACCCGAGACUCAGUGAAAUUGAACUCGCUGUGAAGAUGCAGUGUACCCGCGGCAAGACGGAAAGACCCCGUGAACCUUUACUAUAGCUUGACACUGAACAUUGAGCCUUGAUGUGUAGGAUAGGUGGGAGGCUUAGAAGUGUGGACGCCAGUCUGCAUGGAGCCGACCUUGAAAUACCACCCUUUAAUGUUUGAUGUUCUAACGUUGACCCGUAAUCCGGGUUGCGGACAGUGUCUGGUGGGUAGUUUGACUGGGGCGGUCUCCUCCUAAAGAGUAACGGAGGAGCACGAAGGUUGGCUAAUCCUGGUCGGACAUCAGGAGGUUAGUGCAAUGGCAUAAGCCAGCUUGACUGCGAGCGUGACGGCGCGAGCAGGUGCGAAAGCAGGUCAUAGUGAUCCGGUGGUUCUGAAUGGAAGGGCCAUCGCUCAACGGAUAAAAGGUACUCCGGGGAUAACAGGCUGAUACCGCCCAAGAGUUCAUAUCGACGGCGGUGUUUGGCACCUCGAUGUCGGCUCAUCACAUCCUGGGGCUGAAGUAGGUCCCAAGGGUAUGGCUGUUCGCCAUUUAAAGUGGUACGCGAGCUGGGUUUAGAACGUCGUGAGACAGUUCGGUCCCUAUCUGCCGUGGGCGCUGGAGAACUGAGGGGGGCUGCUCCUAGUACGAGAGGACCGGAGUGGACGCAUCACUGGUGUUCGGGUUGUCAUGCCAAUGGCACUGCCCGGUAGCUAAAUGCGGAAGAGAUAAGUGCUGAAAGCAUCUAAGCACGAAACUUGCC
rnacentral:rRNA from 1 species